GCCGGGCGUGGUGGUGCACACCUGUAGUCCCAGCUACUCAGGAGGCUGAGAUGGGAGGAUGGCUUGAGCCCAGGAGGCAGAGGAUGCAGUGAGCUGAGACUGCACCACUGCAUUCCAGCCUAGGCAACAGAGCCAGACCUUGUCUCAA
ensembl:misc_RNA Metazoa_SRP Metazoan signal recognition particle RNA